UAAAGCCACCCUACAGGGGGGAUGAGAACACCCGACCGGGGUUCGACAACUGGCGCAGCCAGUUGGACAGACGACGAGCUUGCGAGGAGACUGCCCGAAGGGCGAGCAAAGCGAGUCAAUCCCCCCCUCACCGCCA
rnacentral:sRNA from 4 species